rnacentral:lncRNA from 1 species
CACAUCACAUCCUAUCAUACAACAAUUCAUUUACACAGCCCUCGUGUCUCUGUUCAGCAUUCACUCUUCAUCUGAUGAGAACAGCGCUAUCGCGAUGCCGGAUAACCUUCUUCCCCUCAGUCGAGACCUAAAAUGCCUCGACUGCUUAGGUGCAUCUGGGGUUUGAAGGUCAUCGAAACCACUGGAUUCUUCUGGAUCGAGGGGGCUUCGAAAAGUUUGUACCUUUGAAGGAGUACUAAAUGCGAAAUGCGACUUCUUUGCUAUCAAAGUCUGUUGAUUGCAAACAGAAAUUGGGUUCAAAUACGGAUCGAAACAAGAACAAAUCAAACCAAACGAAUUUUUCAAAAUAUGGGGAACUUACUGCGUCUCUGAUUGUGUUUGAUACAUGGAAAAGCUGCUUCAAAUCAUCAUGAUCCACACCACACAAUAUCCUAAUCUGCAGAAAGGAAAUCCUAUGAUUAAUAAAAAAUCAUUCAAUCAAAUCUAAAACAUCAAUAGAAGGUAAAUUAAUAAAAAAUUGAUUCAAUCAAAUCUAAAAAUAUCAAUAGAAGUUAAAUUCAUAAAUCUGCUACCUACCAAAAUAUCCUGAGGCAUAGCUUCAAGCAUCGACUUUUCUGCUUUCUCCUCCACCAUUUCGCCGCAUCUCCUCUUCAAUGGAGUCCUGAGAACAGAACUCGGAGAUGAAGAUUCUGUGUUACUCGAAACCAGAAUUCUCUUUCUACUCAAUGACCGCGUGACUGGAACAAACCCUAACCCUAAUUCUUCAUCACCACCCUUCAUCUGUGAUCCAUGUCUCCUCCCUAAUGCCAUUUCUUCACCGAUUCGAAUAAAAAACCAGCGUCCCAAACUCCCGAAUCCAAAAAAUUUCAGAAUGAAUCUCAACCGAACUGAGAAUCCGUGGCACGAUUGGUAAUUAUUUUGAGAGACACAAACCUGGAUUUUCGCUUGGAUCAACACCAAAUUUCAGGCUACUGCUGUUGAAAACACUCUGUGAAAACGGAAACAACCAGUCUUCUAACCGCAACUUUCCGCUCGUUAAUAUGUUACCCUAUAUAUGUUUUUGUUUUUAGGAAAAAUUGUGAAUAAAAAGUUGAAGUAUAAGCAAACCCUGGUCCCUGUGAGCACUUUCUCGAUUUCUCUAGGUUAAAGAUAUAUUUGAGGCGGUUAAAACUAGCCGUUGCAGGGUUACACGUGUCAGGAUAUGAGCCGUGGUGGGAAAGAACGUGGAUGCUGCGAUGCGGACGUGGAAGAUGUGGUCGGUCCAAGUCGGCUGGUGUCGGUUCCUUAUCUAACACGUUUCUGUUGGACACGGCGGUGUGGGCAAUUGUGGAGCGCACACGUGGCGAUGAUUAUAUGGAGACCGUGUCACGGUGACAGCUGUUUAGCGCCAGAGGAUCGUUGUGUGGAUAUCUGACGGUGGGAACGCGGGGAGAAGGCAGGGGUGGGGAGUAGGUGAUAAUUUGGCCAAUGGUUUUAUUUGACCGGGCUUCUAAAUAGGCGGCUGGCGACUUCGGAUUGGAAUUCCAUAUUAGGCCAACUAAAUGAUGAGUCAACAACGCGUCAAGACCUCAACCUUUACCAUCGAUUGGGCCCACAACAGGAAUGAAUUCGGGUUCCUUCUUGGUGAAGAACCCGAGAAGAGUCCGGGAUCCAAAGACGGAAAAAUAUCAUCACUUGGUUAGAGCAAACCUAACCCUCAUAAUAUGAACGUGUUUUUUAAGGCAGUUUUUUUUGUUAUCUAGAAAAAACAGAACGUGGAAAAAUAUAUUUAAUACCUAAAAAAUAGAAAAUAACUUUAUAUUCGUAAAAACAGAAAUUAUUUUCAUAAAUAUUUUUAAUUAUUUUAAGUUACUUUUACUUAUUUUCUAAGAUUUAUUUUUAAAAAUAAUUAUUAAAAAUAAGACAUUACAUAUAAAAUUUCUUUUUAAAAAAUACAAAUAAAAAAUAAAAAAUAUUUUAAGUUUUUAAACAUUUUAUAAAAUAUUAUAAAACAAUUCUCAAAAAUUGUUUUUUAAGUUAUUCUUAAAAAUAUUUUCCAAAGUAAAUGAAGCUUUUUUUUUUUUUUCUUCCUUUUUAUCCCAUCAUUUCAUCAUAAAUUUUAAUUAUUCCCUUAGUGACAAACUAUUUGUGUCAACAUCUUGUAAGUUAUAAACAUCAAACUACUUUCAACUGGUCGUCUUUCCAUCACUCCUCUAAUAUUAAUAUUUACUUUCCACGUAUCCUUUCCUUCGCACAACAGCCGGUUCGUCCUUAAUUUCAUUAUUUUAAUCCCACAACUUUUGCUAUCUUAUAAAGCUCAAUCACCAAACCUCUGGAUCUCAAAGUCUCAUGUUUGGUCUAACCUUGUAUCAGUUCUUUCACAGCCCUCAUGUUUACUUUCUACCCGUACCCUCCGUACCCAGAGCUUUCUCCUCUCUUUGCAUCAUAAUUUUCAAAUUCUGAAAGCUGUUGGUCUCGUUCCCAACUGGAGUGAGGGAAGCCCCCACCAAAGCUACGUUCCAAAAAAAGAGUGCAAGUGGCCGGAUUCAACCAACCUAAAUUCACCACGGAUGUAGAUAAUCAUUUUGAAUAUUUGAGUGGGGUUAUAUAAUAUUUAUAAUACAUAUUAACAGUUAUAUAUAUAUUUUUUUUUAAUUUAAAAAAUAUCAAAUAUAUUAUAUCAUAUGCUUUUUUCUAUUUUUAAAAAAAUAUAUAAUUUUUUUUAUUGCUAUCUUAAAAUUUUGAAAAUUUUCAUAUAAAUAUAAAAAAAAAGUUUUUAAAAGAUAUUAUAAAUGAAUUUUGAAUUAUGCAAAUGUGAUAAGCUUGACCAACUCAAGUCUAUCUCAAUCAAUUCAAAUAUAACCAUUUAAUUUGAAAUUAGAUAAAUGAGGUUAAGUUGAGUAUUUUGAAUUAAAGAUUGGAUUAGGUUGAGGUUGAAUUUGUUAUUUUUUUUAAUUCAGAUUGAGUUUGAAUUAAUAAUGCACGUGAUAUAAAUGAAAAUCCACUUUUAUUAAGAUUUUAACUUUUUUUUUUCUUAUAUGAAACAGUGAUUCACUUUUUUUCUCAUAAGAAUCAAAAAUAAUUUUCAACAUUUAUUUUUGUUGCAAGUUCUUUAAAAAGGAAAAUAGUAAUAAAUUAUACAAUAAAUAUAAGAAUUUUUUAAAUGUUUAUAUUAAAAAUAUAAUAAUUUUUAAAAAUUAAUUAAAUUUUUAUGAUAUUAAAUUUUUAUUAUUAUUUUAAAAGCCUUUUUAAGAAUACAAAGCAAAUCUAAUUUUUUAUAAGAGUUUUUAUAUUUUAUAUGAAGUUUUUUUAUAAAAAAUAAAAAAAUAAAAACAAUGUCUGAACCACAUGACAUGCCUUCUCCAUAUUCAUAUUGACAUACCUUAUAUUUCUCACUAGAUGACCUUAACAUUGAAUUGAAGUUUGACAACCUGAAUCCUUUACUUCUUACUGUCCUAUCAAGAUUUCUAGGUCAAAUGUUAAUUUUAGGAUAUAAUAAUAAUGUUUUGUUUAAAUUUUUAGGACUUUUUCUCUAUGAGCCAAAUAAAGUUUUUAAUUAUGUUUUUAUUCCACUUAGGAUUUUAGUAUUUUUCAUACAAAGGAAACAACAAUUUUUAGAAAAUUAGAAAAUUUUUGCUAAUUUUUUUUCCUUAAAAGGUUCUAUCAUAAAAGCGUUGACCCUCGAGUGCCUUCCAUGGUGGCGCUUAAGCACCCUUGGACCUCGAACUACUUUUGAUCUCCGGUCCACAACCCAAAAAUUCCUCUUCUAGUCACUUCCGACAUGUGCUUACCACCAAAGCUACUUUUUCUCUUCUUUUAACCUCACCUUUGAAUUACUUUAACACAAACUACUUUCGAUUCCAAUUGGACACAAUUACUUAAAUGUGUUUUCGUCCUCAUACCAUAUUCGUUUGAUCUCAUUUAAUCUUUCUUAUAAGUAAACUUCAAUCUCUUUUUAUGAAUGCUUUUGAAUUUAUUUAAUUGUGUGAUUUAAAAAUGGUUUUCUGUUUGUAUGAUUUAAAAACAGUUUUUUGUUUUUAAAAAUAUAAAAUUAUUUUUAAAUUUUUUUAACAUUAUUUUAUUGUUGUUUAAAAAAGUAAUUUUUAAAAAUAAAGUGAAAUAUAAAAUAAUUUUUAAAGAACAAGUAUGAGUUAUUUUCAUCAAUUUUUAAAAAUAAAAAACAAACAUGAGUUGGUUUAACAUGUUUUCUAAAACUUGGUUUUAAAAAUUAUUUUUAAGUUAAAGAAUAAAAAAUAAUUUUUGAAAACAAAUUUUAGAAAACAUAGUCAAACCAACCCUAAAUAUUCAAUACAUUUUUAUUUUUAUUUUCCCAGUUUUAUUGGUUUAGUUUUUUUUGAAUUAUUUUAUAUUUAUCUUUCACAUGACUUUUUUUUUUUUUUUUUUUUACAAAGAAAACUAGUAAUUAUGCAUAUUCAUUUAAAAAUUACAUACAUGUUGAUAUAAAAAAUAUCUUUAUUAAAAAAAAUAGAGGAUAAUACCAUAUUUAAAUCAUUUGUUUUAUCUAACAUAGAUAUUAUUAGGUUUGAAAUUAGGUUUGAACUUAGUGGAUUCUCACAUAUUCCUACAUAGUUAAGAACACACUACACAUAUAGUGAUAUAUAUAAUGUAAUUUCUACAUAUAACUGAUGACUCAAUUUUAAAAUGUGUCUAAAUAGGAAGAGUGACAUGUAUAGUGUCGGAACAUCUGAAAUAUUAUAAUUAUGGAUGAAAAUAUUGGUAAUCAUAGAUAUAUUAAUCAUUGAAUUUUAUGGAUAUAUUGAAAAAUAUUGAUGAAUAUUUUAACAAAAAAAUUAAUCAAAUGAAAAUUGAUCAGAACUCAUAAAAAUGUUGAAAAAAAUUCAAAGAAAUGAUAUAAGAAAUAAUAAUAAUAAUAAUAAUAAUAAUAAACAUUUAAUGUUGUUUUGUUGAAAAAUUAAUAAAUUACUAUAAGGGAAAUGAUGAUAUUUAAAUAAACAUUUCUUAUUUAAAAAUAUUGAUUAUUUUAUUUAUGAAUUUAUAUUUGGUUUAUAUUUAAUUAGUAUACAAAAUAGAUAACAAGAUAAAUAAAAUUAAUUUAUUUAUAUAUAUAGAGAUAGAUAGAUAAUUUUAUGUGGACAUUUAAAAUAAAAUGAGAUUUGGUUCAAUGGUAUAGACUAUUUAGUACAAAUCCAAGAACCUAGUUUUAGUCCUUUCUUUGUAUAUUUUUUAUAUUUUUAUUUAAGUGUAAGUGUGUAACUAAGAGCACAAUCCCACAUCCAAAGUUUGAAAGAAAACAAAGCUCCACACUCUUGUACUAUCAUAGUUAACAAGUGUAGGCUUGGGCUUAAUUUAACUUUUGGCCCAUUGGAUAUAACUAAAAAAUUUAACUUGUAUGGGUUGGGCUUGUUUUAACUCCUGUCGUUGCACACAUUUAAAAAAAUUUCAGGCUGGGCUAGUUGGACUUGUCCACAUCAUCGAAAUUCUGGCCAUUGGAUCACCUUACUUUCAAUUUUGGCCGUUGAUUAGAGGAAGAGGGAAGUAAUGGAAGCAUGACCGAUAUUUCCCAAAAAAUCAUUGAUUUUUCUUUAUAUUUCUCCGAAUUUUUCAAAAAUUGUCAAUAUUUCUUCAAUUUUCUACGAUGGUGUGUGAUCCAAAAGAAACAUCAUCAACUUCAUUAGUCAUAUCGAUGUAUUGUCAAUAUAUCAACAACUUUUGUUGAUUUUAUUCAAUUUUUCCUAUGAUCAAGCUUUUGGUGGAGAUUUUUUAUUUGGGUAUCAUCAAUAUUCGAUAUUUCGACGAAAUAUCGACAACAUACUGAGUAAAGCCCCCCACAACUUUAAAAUAUGUCUACCAAAUUAAGAAAAGUUUAUAUAUAUAUAUAUAUAUAUAUAAAGUAUUAGGAACUUCUACCCCUAAUUACCAAUAUGAGAUAUCAUGUUAGUCCCUAUACAAACACAAUAUUUGUCUUGUGGUUCAAAAGACUCCAUAUGUAGACAAUAAUAUCCUUAUUGCGUCCUAUGAACUUGUAAGAUAAGACAAACAAACAUCUCUUAUAAGCCCAAAUAGGGCUUUAUAUCAAGCAUUUAUGAUAACCUACUCCCUUUCAUGUAAAUAUUAUUUACUUAAGUCUUGUAAUUUGAACUUGGAAAUGUGUUAGAGUGGUGAUAGUAAUUGUAUUAUCAAGUGAAGUCCACAAUGGUAAUGUCCAUUCACAUCCACGGUCUACUUGGCUAGCUUAAUAUCUUGAAAUGAAAAAACACUCUUAAUAAAGAUGACAUGGUGAGAGGUAUAUAUAUUAUUUGAUGGCAAUAUUUAAACAAUUUUAGGCACUUUAAAGUACUAUUGUAUGCUACCAAUGUGAAAGAAAAAACUAAUUACAGAUCUAUGGAGGAGCGAGAAGAAAGAUUAGUUAAUAAAUAAAGAUUGAUUGGCAAUAUCUAGACAACGAAGCAAUCAUCCCAAUCUUCAUGCCUUUUCAGAUAUUAAUGGCUUGGAAAUCAAGAUGAGUACCAUACAAACAUGGACUUACAUUAUGUAUCUUGGAGUUAACCCUAGUUUAUAGAGUAAGGUAGUGUUUGUUUUUUUGGUUUUUUGCUGAAAAUCAUUUAGUUUUAGAAUUUAGGUUGUUUGUUUUUUUUACUUUUUCAUGACUUAUUAUAAACUUUUUACUAAAUAGAAAAAGCCAAAAUAUGUGGCUUUUUCUAAAUAGAAAAAAUAACACAAUGGUUUUUUUUACUUUUUAAUACUUAAUAGAAAUAAAAUACUAUAAAAACAAACAACCUAAUAUUUAAUACUAUUAAGUAUUAAUGUUCUAUUUAAAAUUAAGUAAAAAAACAAACACCACCUAAAUGUAGACAACAUUUUGUGGUUCAACAUUUUAUGAAGCUGAUCAUUAUUUAGCAUAUUUUUAUCACAAUUGUGAAAACAAUUAGUUGUGAUCCUUUCUCUAAGAGAUUUGUCCCACCACCAAAAAUCAUACCUACUAUUUAUUGUGAUGAUAUAGGGAUUGGUACUUAUCUCUUUAUGAACCCAAUGUUUAAUUCUCACAUAAAAUAUAUUUCAAUAUAUUUUCAUUUUGUCAGAGAACAAGUAUCACAAGGAAAACUUCGGGUCAUACAUUGGUUCCUUUAAACUAAUUUUUAUUAUAACAAAAUAUAGAAUUUGUAUUUAAUCUUGUCUUGAAAGGUUUGAUCUGGUUACAAAUUCAAACACAACUUAGAUGGAUAAUGUGCAACCCAACUUCCAAUAUUUCUUCUAGGAAAAUUAAUGAUCAGUGCACAAAACAACUUGUAUACUUUAAAAAAGGAGAAAAAAUAAAAAAGAAAAAAAGAAAAAAAGAAAAAUGUAACUGUAUCCCUAUUUCCUUUGAUUUCAUUUCUUGCCACGAAAUUGGGUAUAGAAUGUUUAAUCAUUUUCCUUAAUUUCAAACCCUCAAGACAUGUCUGUAUGAGGACAGAGUUACAUAUUUCUGAUCAUCAUGACUGUUGAUGAUCCUUAUUAGCACCAAGUCUUCAAAUGCAUUGGUACAAUUGAACUGGAGUCCUUUUCAUACAAAACUAUUUUGGCUUUUGGGGAUGCUCUCCAUUUAAGAAAACAGUGCUUAUAUACUUGUGCAUCGACAUGACCAAAUUGCAUGUGACGGUUUUUGGGAGUGAUCAGAGCUAGAUUCUCCAAAAUUAUUGCCUUCUCCAGGAAGAGCCUCACCAAUUCUAGUUCGGGCCUUUCAAACUUGAAACCCUUCAACUUAACAUAUUUCAGGAACUCAAACUUCAGUGGCUGGCUAUCUUCUUGGAAUUUUUUCUUGGCAUGUAACUCCCAGUAGUACCCGCAUCCAAAAGAGAAGUUAUUGAGCUGCAUAAGAUUCGGGAAAGUAAUAAGAAACCAGUCGAAUUAAAGAUAUACAUAUAAGUUAAAAUUCUAAUGAAUACACUCACAUCAAUGAAAACCUUCUCGAUGCAUGGGCAGUUUCUGAUAAAAGAAGAAAUGUCAUGAGGAUUGCAAAAGCUGGUUGCAUCCAUGAUCAGAUGAAGUUCCUUCAUAUUCCCUAAAGAGAACUGCAUAGCUCUGAGAUCUCCCUUCUCAUACUUUUGAGAUAGCCCCUAGAUUACAACAUCAACACAAACCAAUAAGAAUGAGUAAAAACCAUUAUAAUUGAAGUUUUGAGACUAUAUAUAUAAACCGAAGGAGAAGAAUUACCUCAAGAAAUGUACUGGAAACAGUGAGACAAGCGACAUGAACAAGAUUCAGUAGGAGAUUUCUGGUCCGAACCAUCUCCAAACAACUUCUUGCAGGUGGGCAACAGAGAAUCACAUCUUUCAGCUGUGGUAGACUGCCAUUGAAACUCAGCUUGCUGAAAUAGCCGUGGUAGAAAAAGGAGCGAAGUGUGGGAGCCGAAAUAUGAAUACUAGAAAGAUCAGUACACUCCACCACCUUCAACUCCCUGAACCUUUUCAACUUUCCAGUCGAAAUCUUCAAAUGGAAGACUUUAGAACAGUGCAGUAGCUCCAAAUUUUCCAGCAGCAAACAGUUGGCAAACACUGUCUGAAUCAAACCCUCAGAGGCUGGCAUUUUCCUGAGGACAAGAGUGUUCAAGGAACACAAACCUUUAGGCUUGAGAGGCAGAUGGAGUUCACAGAAGGACAGCUUUAGAAUCCUUAUGGAUUCAACAUCAAUAAGAUCAGAAACAAUCUGAAACGGCUCUUUCCCUUGGCGGAAGUCCAAAUCGAGCUCUUCCACUCCCUUUUUAACCGAUUUCCUGAUCCAGCUCUCAGCUUUGGACUCCAUGGCAUCGUGAUUGAAAUACAGUCUGAAGCUGUCGAUCUUAGAACCCAAAUGGUGUCUGAAGACGCUGUUCAAGAUCCACAUGAUCUCCUCACGCCCUCGUCCUUUCGCGAAGUCCUCGUCGAAAUGAAGCUUCCGGUUUAUAAACCAUGAAUUUCUGAAGCGCAUGGACACAGUUCCCAAUUGCACCACCUUCUUGAUCGGGAGAAAAGAGAAGAUUUUCUCAACAACAUCAUAAGGAAGAUCCUUCUGAGGGUGGUUUCUCUUGAAUCGCUUCGGAGCUGGUGAAAGGGACAGCUUUUGGGGCUGACUACUCGGACCUGCCAUGGAAUCACCGAGGCAAAGAAAAUACAGAUUGUUUCAUAAAAAAUUUAAGUGUGUUUUUUUGUGAUAAAUCGAAGGAAAUUGUGAGAAAAUGAGAUAUCUCUUUGCUGGAAAUGGAGGAGCUCUGAGAAAAACCAGUGACGUUGCGCACUCCUGUUACUCCAACAGCGGACGAUACUGGCGGAGAUGGCUGCGUUUGGCUCGUGGGUAUUUAUAAAACGGUGUCGUUCUGACGAUUUGAUGAAGACAGGUGGAGUCCUUUGUCUCUUUCUAUGAAAAUCACUUUCCUUUUUUCUGGAGCUGAUUUUCGUAGUAAUUAUUUUUUGUAGCCUCUUAAUCACAUUUCCAUUUUUCUUUACAUCACUUUACAAAAGAAAAAAAAAAGACCCUUUAUCUGUUGCAUACAAAAGUUAAGUAAAAAAGAGAAAGGCAUUAUUUUACCUUUUUUUUUUUAUAAUUUUAAGGAGGGUGAAAAAAAAAUAUUUUUUAUUUUAUUUAAAAUGGUAUUAUCUUAAAUAAGAGAACCAUUAUUUCCCUUUUGCUGUAAUCACUUUAAUUAAUACAUAUUAAAAUAUUAUGGAAAAGAAAUUUUAAUUGACAUUUAUAAAACAUUAUCUACAAAAGGAAAAAGUUUACCCAUAAAGAGUAAGCAAGGAAAUAAUUUUCCCUUUCUUUCUCAUUCAAAUGAAUAAAGUAAUAAUUUUUUUUUAUAUGGUAUUAAUAAUUAAAAUUUUCUACCACAAAGAAAAUGGGUCAUUUAUAAUUUUAAUAUAGGCUAUAUGAUUUAAGUGGGUAAUGAAAUUUAUUUUAUUUUAAUAUUUGUGAGAAAUUUGAUACCUAUAAUCUCCAAUUAUUUUUCCUUUUCUCCCUUGUUAAUUUAGAAUUAAUAAAUUCAAAUUUAUAAAUACAAAAUUGAUUAAAAAUAAAAAGUAAAAUAGAUUUUAUAUUAAAGUGAAAAUCAUAAAUCCUUUUUUAUCAUUAAUUUUUUUUUUCUUAAAAAGGGCAUAGUAACAUAAGUAAGAUUAAUUAAUAUAGCAUUAUUCUAAAAAGAAAGGUAAUUGUGAUUAAUGGUUGAGGGUGUGUAAUUUGGUUGAGUAAUGAAAUUUUAUUCAACAUUAAUAUGUAAAAAAGAAUUUGAUGCCAUCAUUUUGAAUUAUUCUACUUUUUGAUAAUUUAGUAUUGAUUUUAUUUAAAAUUAAAAUAUUUUCGCACAUCAUUUGAAGGCACGGUUUGGCCUUGUACUAGAUAAAAAUCAGUUCGAUGUUAGAUUUUUCUAUUCAAUUAAACAUAACCUGUUGAUAUCAACCAACAUAACUAAAUUCAACAAUAAGGAAUUUCCAAUUUAAGACAAUUGAAAAAGGUAUGGCAAAUGAAAUAGCAAAGCCUCCAAUAUAAGCAAUGAACCCAACAUCAGACAAAUAAAUUGAAAAAGCACCAAGGACAAGCCCAAAAAAGGGGAUUGGAUGCAACAUUGCGAUGGAUUUUCAUGUGUAAUGUACGCACAAAUUUCUUAAAUUGGGUGCAUUCAGCCUCUCUCCUUUCUCUUGAUGUUCUCUAGGUUACAUCAAAAAGUUUGAUGUUACAUGUACAAUGAAAAGGUAAAAUGAUAGUAAUCUAUCCUUGACAAAAACUGAUGGCCUGUAUGCAGUUAUACAUACCUUUUAGAGUUGCAUGAGGACCGUGAGUGUAGGUUUCUGUCUUUAGAUUAGCUGCUUUAAGUUCCUAUGGGAACAUUCUCAGCUGCUCAAAUACGAGAAACUCCACACUGAAGCACAGUUUUCAUCACCUACAGAAAACAUAAACCAAUUUUAGGCUUGGUCGUCUCAAUCAGGAAGGGGAUCCUCCAGAUUCCUCCAGAUUAGGACCCCAUUUAUUGACGUCACAUACAUUGUUCUCAUUUUUCUUGUAGGUAUUCUUAAAUUCAAAUUCGUGAAGAAGUCAGCAACAAUAUUCCAUUCAGAACAAGCAAGUGCAGCUCGGAGAGUAAAAGUGACCUUUCAAACCAAAAUCUGUAAGCUAAGUGUUAAAAACAACAUUUUCCUUUUGCUGAUAUAGCUAAUUGGCUUGAGGUUUUUUCAGACAAUCACCACUAUUGUCUCAAGUUUGCCUAAUCCAUGGUAACAAGCAUGCAGAAAUGCUCCUCAAUCUCAGGCGACUUUCAUCAAAUUCUAGAAAAUUUCAACUCUCUUACUUUCUCAUGCCUAUAUCUUUUAUUAUUUUUUGGAUUCUAAUCAUUGUUAUAAUCCAAUUUUGAAUUGUUUUGUCAUUGUUGUGUACUGGUUUGCUAACCCGAGAUCAUUGUCUCACCUGAUUUUUGAAAUUAGGGAUUCCUCAAGUCAUACAAAUUAUUCAAAUUUGAAGUACCACAAACUUCAUGAUAGCUUGGCUGUUCAAUAUGUUAAUCACAUAAAAUGGAAAGGUGGAAAAUGAACCCUGUAGUAACACCAUAUGGAUUUAGGAGUUACCAGAUAUACCAAGGCUCAAAUCCUCAUUGGAUUCAGGAAUUCCAAAUCGCCGGUGGCCUGAUGAUGAGGCAGCCAUUGGCAGAAAUGGAUGGAAAGAGAAACCAUUAAUGGUGUCUGUAUAUAAGACAAAAAGCAAGUUAAAAUAGGUAAGAAACCCAGAAUAGAUGCAAAAUUAAAUUUAUCAUGGCAAUUUCUAGCAAAUAACAUGUCAACUAGUCAUACCAGAUGCAGCUUGAAAGCAUGAUAUCCACUGCCCAGUUUGAAGAUCAUAAAUAUGAACCAAGCCGUCCUGGAACCAAAGGUCACAACGAGAAAAAAGAAAAAGAGAAAAAAAGAGGUAAUUGAUUUUGUUAUAACACCAUGAUCAACCACAGCAAAAGGAUGAAGGCUAAAAUGAUACCUGACCACCUGUACCAAGAUGUCGGCCACCGGGCUCAAUGUCAAAAAAUAUCCUCUGGUUGGUUGUUUCAGUUGAUCUAUAAAGCCUAAUUACAAGACGCAGAAAAGUGAAAGCACUUAAAUCUCAUUGCAUUUCAACAUAUUUAAUUACAUAAAGAAAAAUGGAGCCUGCCUCGGUUGACCACAGGAAAUCUCAAAUUCAAGAAAAAUAAACAUGGAACAUACAAGCAAAAGGAUUCUGCUAGACAUACUUGUACACAGUGUUGACAGUGUUGCGUAUAUCCCAACACAGUAUAUAAGGGUCCUGUAAGGUUUUCAAGGAUAAAACUUUGUCAAAUGCACUUACAAAAUAAAAACAAAUGUACACUUGAUAUCAACAUAUUAACAAUCAAAUAUGAACUUCACCAGAUCAAGAUAAUGUUAACUGUGGAGGUCCUUGAAGAUCACACAAGAUACAAAGACUGACCAUNNNNNNNNNNNNNNNNNNNNNNNNNNNNNNNNNNNNNNNNNNNNNNNNNNNNNNNNNNNNNNNNNNNNNNNNNNNNNNNNNNNNNNNNNNNNNNNNNNNNACUGCUGAAGAGCACAAUUUUCAUAAGAUGUAAAGCAAUGCAAAUAGAUUUUUAAGAGCUAAUCAAGUUUGGGAAUGUGGAAAGGAGGAACCACAUUAAUGGCCUCAACUUCGCUGCAUUAACAGCAAACAAGAACAAAUCCUUUUAUAGACUUUCCUCUAUUGUACUCACCAAAGUUUGGUUGUGAGCAUAUGAUUGGGGCUAAAUGAACUCAGUCUCCAUUCUUUCACCACGUAAUCAACUGAGUAGCAUCAACCAUUUCUAUGAUUAUGCUCAUCAAGCUGCAUGGGCAGAGAACUGAACAUUAGGCCAGGAUCCACAUAUUCGGCCUUAAAUGUGCUAUACUUGAUAGAGUCAGGGGAUGCACCUUCUUUACAUCUCCCCACGAUAAUCAUAAGAUUGAGGCGGUUGCAUGGAAUUGUUAUUUGGAGGCUUCAAUCCAAAAUCUUCUGUUCGGUUGUUUUGUCUAACAAUGGCUUCAGAAAUUCAAUUACAUUCCUAGUUCCCAAAUCAACCGAAACAAUUUCAUGGUAAAAGCAAUAACUUCUAACUCCAUAGAUUUGGAGUUUCAGAUCAAAUCCAAACCCUGUAACUAAAUCCAAACUCUAUAACUAAACGCAAUCCAAGUGCUCCUCCAAGAGCAACAGAUUCCACAUAAGCCAAUUUACUAAAGUUAUCAAACUGUUACGAAUAGUUUAUAAUUAUUAAACUGUAACAUAACAUGCAGAGUGAUCCAACACCGCAUCAAUACGUUCACCAGGACUUGGUCGUCAAAUUCAAAGUUGAAUCAUUAAUUUUACUUCAGGUUUUGAACGCAUUGAGUUUAUGAAAUUCUUGAUAUGAAAAUCAUCAAUCGCAUUACGAGAUUCUAUCCAGAAUUAACAUCGCCGAAACUGAAACUAUCGACAUUUCCCACAGAUUUGGCAAAGGAUGAUCCAAUAAACAUGCAAAUACUAAAACUAUAUUAAUAAUAAUAAUAAUAAUAAUAAUAAUGCUCUGAUUGGUUUUUUAGAAAUUUAAAUAAAUAAAAAAUGGAAAACCUCACGUCAUCCAGAAAAAUAAAUAUAUUUUACUCGGUUGACCAAGGCUUUCGUUUUUCUGAACCUUUGUGAUUCAAAGAUUUUAAAGUUUUCUCAGCAACCAAACAGAGGAUAAACCAAAAAAGACGCGCAAAAUCCAAUUGCACAAGCACCUGCAAGCUAGACUAAGCCAAAAACUACAUAGGCUAAGUGAGCACGAAGCCAAAUGAAUUCAAGUUUAACCUGAACACAUAGAAGAUUAGACAGAGCACCUGACUGUGAAGAGAACAACAAGGCGAGAGAGCGAAGAAUGGUCAUGGAAAGCUCUGGAAACUCUCUCGUAGAAGCUGAAACUCCUCAUUUUCUUGGCUUUGAAACCUUGCGCACUCGGAUCUACUCACAGUUGUCGCAGCCUUAGAGCUGAAGAAGAGGCUUUCAAGUUUUGUGGAGAAAUAAAGAGAGUUAGAGAGAGGUGUUUUGUUUUGCUUUUGAUUCCAAAUUGAACAAAUGGUCAGAAAAUUGAACAAAAGGAGAAGUCCAGGAAGGUGGGAGAGAGGGAGAGAGAGAGAGGUAGGAAUAUGACCUGUGUCACGCAGCUUCCAGCUACUCAUUUCAUUGACUUGGCGCGCAAGCCACACAAAUGAAACGUGUGUCGCCCCUGUCGCUCUAGUCACCGACACGUGGAGAGCUGGUGGGCUGUUAGAUCUACUCAUCACAUGCGCUAUCAGGGCACCGUCCAUUUUGAUCCUUUUUCCAAACAACAAAAACAUAUGCGAUGCUAAUCAGAAACAUAUGAAAAACCGUUUCUGAAAACAAAAUACGUUUUUUUUUAAAUAAAAUUUUAAAUUUUAAAAUAUUUUAAUUUUUUUAAAUGUUUGCAAAAAUCUCAUAAAAAUAAUUUUAUAUCUAUAUAAUUACUUUUUCCAAAUAAAAACAAUUUAAAACAAUUAAAAUAUAUUCUAAAAAAUAAAAAUAAAAAUUUAAAAUUUUUUCAAGCUUUAUCCUCUUCCAGAAUGUUGGUUGUAAUUAUUUUGAUUUAUACAAUGUUCUUAUAUUCUUAAUUAAAACCAAAUAAAGAAACAAGUGGAGAAGAAGGAAAAUGCGAAAACACAUGCUUUUGACCUAAGCAUUCCAGGAAGGCUGCCAUAAUAUUGGAGGGUGGCGUAUUAACGAAAAGUGAAUUGACUAAAUCGCCUCCAGCUGAAGAGCUUGUUCUAGAAGGAUGACUGUGAUUAAUGUUAUUUAAUUGACAUUAGAAGAAACAGCAUGCAUAAGGGUUUGGUUUGAAAAGGAGUUGCAUUGUUCCACAUGGGGCACCCUUGUGAUUUUGCCAACUACUCAAACGGCUAUGUGAGAAAACAUAUAAAAGUUGUUGAUUACUUUAAUUUAUUCAACCGUUGCUUUAAGAUUUGCAUGAAAGGCGCCGAUCAUUAAUGAAGCACUUAAAAAGUGGGUUGUCCAUUCCGAAUCCUCCCGUUGUACUUUCAAAUUAUAAGUCUUUUUUAGUAAAAAUAUGAUAAAUAUCCCAUGCAAAUUUAAGAAUUUAGCAUUAUAAGGGCAGUUUUAGACCAAAUUCAUAAUUAUCAAUUAAAAAAUUUUUGUUGGGAAUUAGUUCAAGGAAUAUUUUAUAUUAUAAUAUAUUUGUUUUGAUUGCAAAAUCUUACAUAUAAAUUACAAUUUUUAUUUUAUGAAAGAAGAUAUUUUAAUUUUUAUUAAUAUUAAUAUAAAAAAACCACUGAGAAAAGUUGGCUUUGCUCCUAAUAUUAUUGAAACAUGUAAGUUAAUCUUAUCAUUAGUUUAGAUUUUACUUAAAAGGGCAUGAAGUUAAUAGGUAUUUAAAAAUAAAUUUAAUAAAUAUGUAAAAAUUAAAAUUUGUAUGAAUAUAUUUCUUAUUUAUUUUUUUAAAAGAUAAAAACUCUCAUGAAAAAAAAAUAUAGAUUAAUAAAAGUCCCAAAUUUCUUUUUUAUUUUUAAGAAUAUUAUAUAAAAUAUUUUUUGGGUUGAUUGAAUCACAUUAAAACCUCGAAUGUUGUAUUAUUAUUUCAUCUUUAUGUUUAUGAUUGAACUUUGUUUGUAUUAAAGUUUUCAUUGGCACAACAAUUUUAUAUCCUUAAAAAUUAAAGUUAAAAGUUUCUAAAUUUCAUAUAGCAAAUAUUUUGUAAUACCUUAAUUUUUAUAAUUAAUUUUAUUUUCAUCAUAUGUAGGAAAAUCCAACUUUAGUGCUAUUACCUCGUUUAUAAUUAGUAGGAUAUGAUUCUUGGAUGAGGAUUUAUAUUUCAUUUAUUUGUUGUUAUUUAUUGUUGGACCGACAAUUCUAACAUGUUUAAAGGCUAGCAUUACAAUAUAUCAUUAAGGAUAACAAUGGAGAUAGUGUUUUUUUAUGUAGCAUUUCUCAUCUUACUCCUAAUAGAACGGUUUGUCUUAAAUAUAAAUGGGUUGGAGACAAAUUUGAAAAGUAUUUUAAAAUCCAAGGUAGGUUAGAGGGAUUGAAUAUGACAUUAUCCCAUUCAACCACUAUCAUAUAUAAUAUUAAAUAAAAAUAUUUUAAUUAAAUAUUUGCUUCAUUUUUCAACUUUUUUAAAUAUAUAUAAAAUAUUACUUUUUCUUAAAAAUAAAUUAUAAAUAUUUAUAAUAUUUAUUAAUUUAUAAUUUUAUUUAUUUUUAAUACAUUUUGUAAAUAAAAAAAAGUUUGAAAAAAAUAAAAUAGAAAGGUUAAACAUGAUAGAACAAUGAAAGUUUUCCACACUCCCAUCACCCCAAUUUAACUCUAUAAAUAUAAAUAAAUGAGGUGGGUUUAAGAUGGAGUGAUUGGUCCGGAACUAGUCUUGUGCUCUAUUUAUCAUUCUCAUGUCCCUCCGUGAGAUUCAAUAAAAAAAAAAGGAAUUAUUCAUUUUUUUUUGGUACUUUCCACAUUUUAUUUUAUAAAUUUUAUGAUUAAAACAAUUAGAGACAUCAUAAGUUAUGUCGUUGAAAAUUAAAAUUCCCAAUUUAUGAUUGGGGUGUGAGAAAGUGACUUUCUUGGAAGUACUGGACGAUCGGUGAUCCUCUAGACAGGUCCCAUUUAUCAUUUUUAGGAUGAGGGCAUUGCGUGUUAAAAUUGUUUUAAUGUUGGCUUUUAGAAAUGCUGUUCAAGGUUGUCAUCUUAUGAAAUUACAAAUAUAUAGAUAUACAUACAUGUUCCUCCCAGACAACCUUCAUUCUCAAGUUCAAGUUUCUAUCACAUCUUAACUAGCGGCAUGUUUGUUUUCAUCCGAAAUGGAAUUUGCUAUAGCCAUUCUUUCUUGCGUGAUUUGUACCCCCUCUACAAUUGUUCAUACAUCAUUCCUGCCUAACUCCAAUCAUCACAAUAGCGUAUAUCAUCAUUGAUUACGAUACUAAAAAUAUUUGUUUAUUGUGUUCAAAAUAGCUCUAAUCAUUAAUAUUUUUUAAAUUUUUUCUAAGGCUUUGUUUCUAUUUUAAUUUUGUUUUUGUAAAUUAGCUUGAUUUCUCUCUAUUUGUGAUAUUUGCCUUUUUAUCCCACCCCAAUCCCAUCGAGUACACUGGUCAAACGUCAUCGUUUCACCCACACAAACGAUUAUUGAUAACGAAUAUAUAAGCUAUCACAUCUAUGAAGAACAUAGCAAAAUACGAUAAUUUUGUGUUAAUUAUAGAAUCUCAUGAAUCAUCAAGUAUUUGAACUCAAGUUAUCCCUUAUCCAUUCUCAUCCCAGCUCGUUGAGAGCCCUCGAGUAAAUUACGUUGAUCAUAAAUAAAUUUAAAAUGUUCAAAUUUUAAUUAUGUUUAUUUUUUAUUUUUUAUAUUUUUAGGCAACCAAAUAUAACCUUAUGGUCCAAAGAAAAAAAAAAUCCCACAUUAAAUAAUUUUAAUGUCAGUUUGAAUUAACAAAAGUAAAGCAUAUGUAGUCUAAUCUUCAUGUACUAAAAUCAUUAAAAAUAAGUUUCAAAAAUUCAAAAUUGCGAAGCGUCUGCCAGGAAUAUAGCAGGACUAUGGACCAAUUUUCCAUUUAGAUUGUGAGAAAUCCCUUCCGCUGAGAAUGUUCAUGAACUCGUACCAGGAGAUGAUGAUAUGUUUUCAUCACGCCCACCGUGUACCCUAUGGCAAUCUGGCUAUCACAGUCACGUGACGGACACGUGGGCAUUUGACAUUUUGGGAAAAAUUUAAUUUAGUGCUUCAGAAAAAGCUGGUGGGCAAACCACUCAACUAGUCACGUUACCGGUUACCUCAAACCUUUUGUUAAAUGUUUGGAUUUGUUGAUUAAAAUUAGGAAAUGUACAUGAACAUUGGUAUCAUACAUUACAGACAAACCCAUUACUCAGAUUUUUAUCACUCUCUCCAAUGGGAUAAUUUCCCCUCUAUUUUCUUUAAUUAAUCAAGGUUAACUGAAUCUAACCCCUUGCCGGAAAAUUCACCUUUUAUCGCCGGAAAACUGAUGAUUUCUCGCCGGAGAUAUAUCAAUCUCUAUCAAGUUGUCUUCUUCAACGUGGAACAUUGCAUCAAGCUUGCCGUCCAAUGCUAUCUCAAUCAACCCUUCACGGUCGUCUUGGUCCCACCUGAAGCUCAUAUUCUCCGGUGAGUUCCAGCCGUUGCUUGCCGGGAAUUCACCGUCCGACGAGGUAUCGGAGUCAGAUUCCGGGUAGCAAAGCGACAGGGAUGGGUAUCUCUCGAGUCCCAGGAAGCGGGUCUCUUCUGUUACAUUCAGAUCUUCGUCUUCUUCGCCCUCGAACUCUUCGUAUAUCACCUCCAAUGGCGCUCUCACGUUCCACCCGACGAACGAAUCACAGAAAAAGGGUUUCGUGUCAAAAUCGGAGUGAAUUUCGGGCCAUUUUUCAGGUUGUGGAUGGACGCAUUUGAGUUCUCGUCCUCUCAUAUCGGGUUGUUCCGGUUCGUUAGAACUGGGUUCCCCUUCAACCUGUUGGUUCACUCCUAACCGUAGAAGAGUCAACAACAGAACCCCGGUGGAGAUCAGUACGGGUGAGAAAACGAUCCCCAGGAAAAUCCUGGGGAAAUAGAGGAGAAUCAGAAUAUACAGCGUAACAAUACAUGAAAACAAUGGGUCAGACGAAAGAGACGAUAGGCAAGAAAACGCUUUUGCGAAGAAGUUCAUCGCUUCAAUUAGACCCAGAGUGGAAAUGGAAUCCAAUUCCCAUGGACCCUCCUCCAUGAAGAAUACAACUUUCCUUGAAAGCCAAUGCCGGAGUGCAACUUUCAAGGACAACCCAAGAGAAAAAAACUGAAACCCAUUGGAGUAAAGACCAGAGGAGGGAGGAAGAGGAUGAGAAAUGGAAUGGAGAAUUUAAAAGCAGGAGGAAAAGAGGGAUGGGGUGGGGGGUUUUACAAGGUUGGCUUGUGGGGUUUAGGCCUUGAGGGAGAGAGAACCUUUUGGGAGUGCGCAAGAGCAAGGCAUGGAAUAUCUAAGAGUGAUGGGGAUAUGAGUGCAAUUACUUUGAUAACCACUCUUCACCCCCCUUUCUACGCAUCUUAGCCUCAAUGUCAUCUCACAAUACAGAUUGGGGCACCAUUUCAUUUCAUUUUAUUUUAUUUUAUUUUAUUUUUUGCAUGAAUCUUGAGGGGGAAGAAUCAAGAUCUUACUCACAGCCACAUGAAUUGGUCAAAUUUGUUUGAAGGAAGAAAUUGACUAACAAAAUUUGAAGAAAAAGCAGUGCAAGACUUUGUAGAGUUGGUGUGCACUCAAUUAUCAAUGAAUUAAUUUUCAGAAUUGACUGUGGAACAACAUCCUCAGCUCUUGUUCAAAACUUUUACUCCCAAUGUUCAAACUCAUAUCUUCAAUGUUACCCAAAUGAAUUCCAUUGGUGAUUAAUAAAUAGCUUUGAAUUCAGAAUAUGAAUUCUUUUUCUAUUACAAGGGCUUGUAUGUUUCAUGAAAAAUGGAAUGAUUUCAUUUUUGUAUUUCAUGGAAUGUAUUGCCACAACAAUCCAUUGGAAUUUAGGGCCAUUAUAAAACAAAAACAAAGUCAUGUCAAAUAAAUACUUUGGUUUUUCUGUUGGGAAGAAUAAAGUUUUGCUUUUGUGUCAGACACCCAUCAUUUAAUACUGCUAUCUUUAAAUAAUGUAAUUUCUUUUAUUUAACUUAUAGCAUGAAAAUAUUAAUUUCGCAAAAAAAAAAAAUGAAAAUAAAUUGAUGAAAAACAAUUGAGAAAAAAGGAAUCCGGUCCUGCAGUUUCAGUGGCAGUGAAGUAAAAAAGAGGGAAAUGGAAGGCAAAUUUAGAUCUGAAUUGGGUUGGGAGGCUCUGGUUCAUAAAUUUUCUAGGACAGUUUCAUCACCCUUUGAAUUAUUUCUUUCCUUUUUUCAUGGUUCACUUUUGCCACUCUCCUUUAUUGCCCAUCCCCCUUUCUUUUCAUUGCCUUAUAAGUUUCAAUCGUCCUUUUUCUGUGAUAUGGAACUUGUCUUCUAAGGUGGGGAACUUGUUGAAUACCUACUUUUUCUAUACCCUCUCUGAAUUUUGUUGGUAUUUUUAAUAAAUUAAUUGAAAUUUAAACUUCAAUUAUGGUUUUUUUUAGUAAUGUAAGUCAAGAAUUUAAAAAUUUUAGAAAAUUCAUUUUAUAUUAAAAUUAUGGUUGAAAUGGGAAUUGAUGUGAUGAUAUGUAUUAAUAUUUGAAGGAACCAUGACCCGACUCUAAUGGUUCGGGUACAAUAAGUAUGAUGAAUUUCUCAUAUGCCAACAAAUGGAUUGACCCGCUUGAUGCCCUUUCUUCUCGAUGAUUAAGACAAAAUCAUUGUUAUUUUCUCUAACCCUAAUUUAGAAUAUAUGGAAUCAUAGAUAGAGCAAAAACAGAAAUUGAGGGAGACAUGAUAUUCAAAUAUCUGUACGACUUAAUUAUAAUAAUUUAUUUUUGUUUAAAAUCUUAGGUCAAGAAAUCAAAUCUCAUCUCCUACGUAUUUUUUCUCCUUUAUAAACAUCUUGAUUUUCAUCCCUUGUCUAUCCUACAAAGUAAUUGAUACCUUUCUCUCACCUCCCUUCGAAAUACAUAUAUGUCUUAGAUUUUUAUCUCUUGUCUAUUCAAAAAUAGAAUGAAUAAACAUUUCAUCAAUGCUUUAUUUAUUCAUAAAAAGUGUGUGGAAUUGUCACUUCGUUUCUCAUAUGAGGCUGUUAAAGACUUAUACCUAAAAAAAUAAAACGCAAACCCACAUAUCAAUGAUCCAUUUAACUAUAUAUGUUUACACAUAAGUAGUUAGUUUGAAUCACCUCAAAAAAGAUUAACCCAGAUGUCAAUGACCCACUAAAUAAUUUGUGAUUAUAUAUGGGUAGUUAGUUUGAAGUUAAUGCAACAGAAAUCUAUUAUUAAGAAUAUUCUUGGUAUUAUUCCCCUUUUUUAUAUACAAUUUAAAUAAUAACUUGAUUGUUUGGGAAAGAUUGAUUGAAACACCAUUUGACAUUUUUUUUUUCUUAUUUUCAAGAGCUGUAAAGUUCAAUUAUGGGCAAAAUUAUUGCAUUUCAUGAUAUAGUUAUGUAUUGAACAUGCAAGAGGAAAAGUAUUAUUGAAAAAUUAUUGCUUCAACUACAUUUUUAUUAGACAUUAAUUUGUUUUAUUAGUCAUUGUCUCUUUUGGUAGUCACCUCUUUUAAAUUGACAUUUUGGGUUUUUAAAAAAUUUGAAAUCUUUAAUACAUUGUACAUCCAUUCAUCAAUUUCAAGUGUCACACGAAUUUAUAGUACAGUUGACAAUGAUUUUAAAAAAUAUUUUUAUUUUUUUUAUAUUUAAAAUAUAUUUUAAGUAUAAUUUUUUUAAAAAUUACUAGCAAAUACACUUUUAUUAUAUUUAUUAUUUUCCUAUGUAAAUACGAUAUUUAUCUCCGUAAAAUAUUAUAAUAUUUCAUCCUAAGAAAUAAAUUGACAAAGUCAAGCAUAUCGAGUAAUGAAGUAGAGGGUGGUUAGGCCAUCACUAGUCAGAACAUUGCAUGAAGAUGGAGUAGGGCUAUAAGUGGGCUGAGCUGCCGAGCACAUGAGAGAUAACGGUUUGACCCAAUAGACUUGGAAUAGAAAUCCAAUCAAUAGUUAGGCGUGACUUGGUUGGCAGACCUAACGGUACCCAGUGUGUUUCUGUCACCUUGCUCAUAUAACUCAGGGAACAUUUAGCCCCUUCCAACCCACUCACCACUGUGCCACUGUGGAGACGGUUCUCCGCAGCCCCCUUUGUGGCAUAUUCCCACCGUAAAUUUUUUUAUAAUUAUAAAUUAUAAAUAAUAGUUUAGAUUUUAAGAAGGGAGGGAAAAAAUAAAGAAAAUAUCUAAUAAAGUAGGAAUCUUAUAACAUUAUUUAUAUAAAUGUCGUCUCCUUUAAACCUCGUGUAAAUACAAUAAAAUACAAUAAAAUAUAACGAGAAUGUUAUUAGGAGUAUGAGAUUGAUAGUAUUUAUAAUAAUUCGCUCUCAAUCUUAUAAAUAUUAUCUAUUUUGUAUCUAAAAAACUCUUAUGACUUUAAAAGACAUCUAUAUGCUUAAGAUGAUCUUCUAUAUUCGAUAUGAGAUAUCGUAAUUUAAUAUAAAAAAUUGUACAACAUACUCACAUCUAUUUUUUGAUAAAUACUGCUUUUAAUCUAUAGAUUUAUUUAUUUGUUUAUAAAAAAUAUGCAAGUUAAAUUUAAAAUUUUACAAAGGUGUGAUUAAUUAAGUCAUAUGGCGUAACUCCAUUUGGGUGUCUUAUUUAUUCUUAAAAAUCUCAUGUGGAAACAUGAAUUCAACAAGAGGGAGGGUCCCAUGGAAUUGAGAUAGAGAGGAGCAUUCCCUACAUUUGGUCACCGAAGCAUGUGAUGUGCUCCUCAUAAACGAAUGGUGUCCCAAGAAAAAGCAUGUCCAUGAAAAGCUAAUUGAAAAAGGAGAGGAGCCAACACAAAUGCCACAAGUUCCAUCUUCCAAUUCUCCAACUUCUUCCGGGUCUAGAAUAAAAGACUAGCUGCUCUUUCACUCUUUAUCUCUCUCCAAUAAUAUAAUGCUAUUUUGUUUUUAGUUUUGAUCUUAGCUUCACUUUCAAAAUAACCCCCUAUGGAAGGGAAAAUUUUCCUAAUAAAUAUAUUAGACUCCUCUUAAUUAUAUAAAUAUAUUUUAAAAUCAUAGAAGUUCAUUACAUCUACAAUGGAAUAGGUAGGUAAUUUUAAAUGUUUUGACUUCCGGUUAAAGAAUUGUUAUGAUAUAUUACAUUCGAUAAAAACACAAUAUAUUCUUAAUUAUAUAGACAUAUUUAAAAAUCUUGAAGCCUAAUGGGUAUAAUGGAAUAAGUGUCUCAAAAUUAUUGGAAAGAUGAUUGUGUUAUCCUAUAUUAGAUAGGAACAUAAUAUAUGUUAUGAAUUUCUUUUAACUAUGUAGACGAUUUAACAUGAUAAGUGCUAGAAUAGUUAGAAAGUAAUAUAUAGGAAUUUAUGUGAGAGAAGUUAUAGAAUUGUAUUAGAAUCAUAAAAUAUAGUCUUAUAAACUUUUUAAUUAAGUGGUUAAAUUAUUAUUUGAUCUUAACAUUUUCAUGUUUUUAUUGUUAUUAUUAUGGAUAAACAUUUGUAUCUUGUCAUAAAUGAGUUAUAAUGGGUCAAAGAUGCUUUAUUAAAGUUAUGAAAGUUUAUUGAGUUUGGAACAGACAAUAUCUAUAUGAAAGACCAAGCCAUUAUCAAUGUUAUAAGAUAAAUAUGUAUAUGUAACGACUCGCACCCAACCAUAUAAAUAUUGUUCGCUUUGAGCCCAAAGAGCUUCUCACGGCUUUAAAAUACGUCUACAAGGUUAUGAGGAUUUUAUACUUCGCUAUGAACUUUUCUCUCUAUCCGAUGUGGGAUGUCAUAAACACUCUCAUGCAGACACAAUGUCCUCGUUGUGUUCCACAGAAUUGUAGGAUCAAACAGACAAAUACCCCUAUGGGAUCAAAUAAACCCCCAUAUCGAGGUCGGGGAUUGGAUCUGAUACCAUUUAUAAUGAUCCACUUUUAACUGUGUAGAUAUUAUUCGUUUUUAAUCCAAAUGAGUCUUCACGACUUUAAAAUGUGUCUAUAUGGUUACAAGAAGUCCAUACUUAUAUAGUGUCAUGACUCCUAUUCGAUGUGAGAUGUCAUAGUAUAUAUUGAGUUUUUCCUAACUUCAAGGUAUGAAGGUAUAUUGCUCUCAUAGUCGUAAAAGAGGGAGAACAAUGAAGAUGAAUGUGUACUAAGAAUGAAUGUCAAUCAUAGUCUCUUCUCUUAGCUUUUAUUGUAUGCCUUUUAUGGCACAUUAUUUUAAAUUCAUAUUCAUGACAUGGGCGACUGAGUUGAUUCAUAUCAUUUCUGAAAAAAAAAAAAAAAAGAAGUCAUAUUAGGGUGCUGUGGAGCCCCGGCAUCUACAAAAGAACUCUAUUUUAUUUUAUUUUAUCUAAUAAAAUAAAAGAAAGAAAGCAUACCGACCCCUAUAGAUUAGAUAGGAAUCUUAGAUUGAUUUGUCAAAAAGUCGGGCAAAUUUAACGUCAAAAGAAAGAGAAAAGAGGACAAAUAAAAAGGUAUGCAGCCUUUUCAACUCUGGCUUUCGUCGACGCUGAGACCUUAAGGAAAAAAAAAAGGGAAAAGAAACUUUUGUCACACACUAAUCUAACCAAUCAAAUGACUGUUAUGAGAGUUUUUUACUUGGACAAACAAGAUUGUGAAUUGAUUUCCGAAAAGUUUAAAACCUUUUAAUAAAACCAAGUGAAAAACUAUUCACUCCUACAAGAAAAAUAAUUAUUCUUCUAUUUUUCUCUCUUUAAUUGGAAUGACGGGACUAUAACAGUACUGAAAAAUGAGAAGAAAAAAGGAAGGAAAUUCCAAAAUAUUUGAGGUGGGUAACAACUAACACCAUUUGACAGCCUUUCGGUUGGAAGCUUGUGAGCUUCUUUGGCUGACAUUUCAGCUUCAACUUCAACAUCAAUGUUUCCCAAACCCUGCUGAAAGAAAAGAAACUACACCCACUACACAAAAAGCAAAGAAAGCAACCCACACAGCCAUCCCCACCCCACCCCACCCCACCCACAUCCACACCUCAAGGUCCUAGCGAGGGAUCUCUACAGGGUAAAGUGACUUGUUUUCCCCAGAGUAAACUCACCCAAAGAUGUCUUCUACUUUAUCUUAAAUAGUUCCAUCACAUCAUGGCCCGAGUCACGGCCACAACAACUUAGAAAUAUCUCUUCCAAUCAUCCAAAUGCACAAAACAAGAACAUGACAGACGACAAAAAAAAGGUAGGCAGAUUGAAGAAAUUAUAUGCCCCAGUCACAAAAUCCUCCCAAAAAUUAUGAAACGAUUCCCCUUUUCAUUUUGGUUAGUAAUAGAUCAACAAAAAGGGGAGGGAAAAAAACAGGGUUGUGUCAGUCACCAUCAUGUACAAUGCUUCUCAAUCGUAUUCUUUCAGGUCAUAAGUUGAUAAUUACAAAAUUCAGUGGCUAAGACCCCUCCAUUUCCCAUGUUAACAACUAUAGGCUUCUAUAUGAUUUUUCCCUUCAUCAUGGACAGAGUUGUAAACUCUGGUUUUGGAACUCAGAAGGACAAGAACUUUAUCCAGCAGUCAAUAAUAUCUUGGACGAGGAGGAGCAUACCCUCCAGGAUGCUGCAUAUCAGUGGGGAAAUUUCCAUAAGAGGGCCUUACAAGAGGAGCUCCAUAAGGUGAACCUGAAAACAUAUAUAAUAAUCACUCAAUUCUUGUGUGGGAGCAACAAAAUAACCAAUCAAAAGACAGAUUAAUAACAAAAAGUUAAUAACAUAGGAAACAAAGUGAUUAAGGCAAUCAUCACUGGAACAUUAGAUAACAACGGUUUUCGAAAUGAAACAUGAUACACAUCAUGAGAUAUCAAGCUACUCUUUGUAAAAUUUUUACCUACAAAUGAAUAUUAUAAACAACUAAAUCACAUGUACAAUUUGGAACCUUGAAGUGAUCAAUUUCAAUUUCUGGGAUCCUAAGCAACGAAAGAAGUUUCCAAUUGAUGUAGUAGUACAAGUAUUGUAAGCCAUGAAGUCAUGUAAUGACACAGUACAGCAAAAGUAAAAAAGGACCGGUUAAUCCUACCUAAAAGACUAGGUUUGCUCCCUUUGAAAGUUUUUCUACGAUGCAUACUUCACCUAUUAAGAAAAAGCGUCCUUAAAGGACUAGAUUAGCAUAAUGCUUAAUGAACCAAACCACCAGUGCAGCAACAACAACAACAACAACCCAAAAAAAAAAAAAAGGAAGGAAAAAUUGGAAAUUUAUGCCUGAAUUUGUUUCACAUUAUUUCCAAAAGGCCAAGUAAUUCAAGUAUAAAAGUGUAUGCUUCUUUCAUAAAUGAAAGAGUUUCUUCCACCCAAAAUCUAUUGCUUUUUCCAGCUACAAUUGUAAAAAAAAUGUAGGGCAAUAAAAAAACAAUACUUUGAAAAGUGAGUGUAGCCAACUGAGGCUAUUGCCAUUGGCACAAUAAAAAAGGAAUAAGAAUUAGAAAUGGAUGAAUUAAUCAGAAGAGACUAACACAGAUCCAGGAUUAGCUCAGGAAAAGUUCUCUACGACAGGCCCUGUGCAAUACAGGCCAGUUUUACUGCAUCAGUAAUGUGAAGGGCUCUACCAGUGACAAGAGAAAGGCCAAAAGGAUGAGGACUGCAGUGUGACAAGGCAUUUAAGUGUAUGAUGGUGUAGGUCUAAAUAAAAUCAAAUGAUGAAAAAGGAUUUGAGUGUGAAUACCAGGCACAUAUAACUUAAGGCUUUCAUGAACUGAAUUGGUUGAGAUGUGCUAUUUCUAAGUUAUUCCUAGAAGCAUGGAUGAAUCUUUUAAGCCACAGGUUGUUCAACUAUUUUAAAACAAUUCCAUCUACUUUAAAACAUUCCCUAAUUGAAUAUGACUUCCAAAAACCAAAAUUGUUUCUAACAAUAAAUGAUAUCUAAUUUCCAGAGUGGCUGCCAUGACUACACAUAACCAACCCACUACAAACUAAACAGAGUGUUAAAAUCAGAUAUCACAUACAGCAAAUAAAGAGUUAAAAUACCUACCAUAUGACAUUUGGGAAGGAGUAGGCAGAUUUCUAGGGUCUCUUGGUACUAGCUGAUUAGCUCCAAAGCCUCCAGGGACACUACCAUGUCCACCAAGGGUGUUGUGUGAAAAUAAAGACGUCCUCAUACUUUCAGCUUGGGUUUCAUAAUGAUUCACUCCUUCAACAUUAUAUUUAUCAUGGGAUUCAACCAUUCCACUCACAUAAGGGUCUGUAGCACCCAUGGGAAUAGGAUUCCUGCUUUCAAGGUUGGUUCUUCUGUAGGGGUCAACCAUCCCAAAGCUCUGGUAACUGGCCAUACCAACCCCAGGAAUGGAACCUCUGGAGUUAUCAUACCCAUAAGUCCCAUAGCUAUUGGAAUCAUUUCUAGAAAGAAAAUUUCUACUGUAACCUAAGGAGGUUUCAUACGGAGCGUCUCUUGGCAUAAACGGAUUUUGAUUGUCUUGGUACGCUCUGGGAAAUGGUUCCACUCUUCCAUGUAGUGCAACCCCCUGAUGACCUGAGUUCAUCUGCAGCAUUUAAGCAUAGGUUAUGAAACAGUAAGAGUAACAUCCUCCAAAAUAACAUAAAAAAAAAUGAUCAAGUGAAUACAUUGGAAGCCUAAAUAUGUAACCAAAAUGACAACUACAAAAGUUGACAUAAAUUUCAGCUUUGUGAAAAAGCAAAGCUGAUAGAUCCUGAUUACAAAUUUGAAAGGCAGGGGUGAAAUGGGAAAAUUUCACUCACAUGAGCAGGCCUUUGGUAAUAAUAGUUCUGAGGGAGAGGAGGAUGAUAACUCAGGCUACGUUCAUCAGGGACUGAACCAAAGGGAAACAUCAUCAGAAAUAUACAUAGGACUAAUUUCCAAUUUUGAAAUGAAGUAAGGCUAAACAAAAACCUGAUGGAGCCCCUUGAUUUUGCAGUGAAGAGCUAUUAUAUGACUGGAGAGAACUUUCCUGAGAAUAAGGUGAAAAGUUGCUUUUCAAGUUCAAAUGGGAUGCAGUUCCUAAGGCACGCUUCAUCUCUUCCAAACAUUUUUGUGCUUCUCCUCUGUUCAGUUCUGGAAACAGAACCUUAUGCAGGAGAUCACAGCAUUAGCUGCUAUUAUUAUCAAUGGCAUGUGUAAAUGGAUUUUCAGAUCUUGGAUGACACUUACCUGAUCAAAAUCCUCAUCUGAACCAGGCAUGUCCUUACUUCUAGGCAAGACAUAAUUGGCUGUCAGAAGCACAGUAAAACCAGGAAUUGUUAGAGAGAACUUAUAAAUUGGAAAAGGCAACCAAAGAACUAUUCAAAGGAAAAACUAACAUAAACAUUAGCAGAAUACCAAUCAUUUCAUUUACUGCAUCAGCUGGUACCUCCUUUCCCAUUUCUUUAAAUCUUUUUUCAGCACGAAACUUAAGCUCUUCUGGCUUUGGAAAGAGCACAACAGCAAUCUGAUUUGGAGCCAUGUUAUUCAUGAAUGUCACAGUAACUUUAAAACAAAUAAUCUAAUUUUAAUCCUUCAUUUAGAGAUACAGAAUGAUAUUAUGUAGCUACCUUCUGAAAAUUUGCAAAUGGUUUCAGUUUACGUUUACGUGCAUUCUUGUAAACAUUUGUUUGAUCAAUAAUGUAGUUGUGAGGUGUCUUCGAAGCUCUGGACAGUAACGUAUUAAAUAUUCCAGUUGCUCGGUCCAUUAGACGCUCAAAUCGUUCACCAUAAUUCUGCUUACGCAGUAGCCCUGGUACCUGUAGAAAGACUUAACUUGUGUCAAGCAGUAAGAAAUGACAAUAAUGAAUAGCAAAGUCAAAACAACUCUUGGAAGUCCAGCUGGCCCUCUUAAAGACUCAACAGAAAAGACAAGCAGAAACCUUCAUUUGAUCCAGAGCCAGAUUUGUUCCAAGUAAAACAUAUCGCUUCUCAGCAUGCUCUUUCACCCAUUUCUCUGCCCAAGUGGACUUUCCAGAAGCAGGUAAUCCUACCAUCAUCAUCACUUCACAAUCUCUUGGGCUAGAAAAAGAAGGUCCCAUUAUUGCAUUUCCAUCAUAAAGUGCAGAAGCCCAAGGCUUAUAGCCUUCUUCAGGAACAAGUCCCUCUUCAGUACUGAACUGGACUUGAACCAUUACAUUUUUCAACAAAACAUGAGGAAAGAGAGCUGAUUCCCAAUGCAGCUGCCUCAUUGGAGAAUCCACAACCCCAAGACCCUUUACACCCGCAUCAAAUUCCUUUGCAACACCCAACCAUUUCCCAUUUUUGGAGAAACUGAUGGAAGCCAAAGGUUUAGUUUCAAGAUUUACAGCACAUACAAUUGUAUCCCCAACCCCAAACUUUUCACCAUAAUUUGAAAAUUUUCCAGCAACUGAAAAUUUUCCUGUGCCACCAAACCCAAAGCUGUGCUCUGUUUCCCCAAGGUUUCCCACUGCAUCAUCUCCUCUUGAAAUGCCAAGCCGACAAACAUGCUGCUGGUCAGGAGGGGUAUCUUCCAUAUCCACUGGCUGAGUUGAAAUAAUUUUGCAACCAAAACAAUACUUCCCUCCAGUUAUUCCAACAUUACCACGAGCACCAGACCAGCAAUAAGCAAAUCCAUGGUCAUGAAGUGCAGAACCUUGAAGACCAUCACCAACAAUAUUGAAAUCUGGUGACAGUGUAACAGUUCAAUCAAACAUAUGAUACUUGCAAAAUGAAAAACAAUUUUAGAAGUUAACUCGACACACAAGUGCACAUGCACAAACACAAAAGACAGAGCCCAAGCCACGGCCAUUUAGCCCUAGGGUGGGACGCCUUUAUGUUUCUAUUUUAAGAAUGGAAGGGUGUUCCUUUCUCUUCUCUCCCUUCUUUUCAAUAUUAAUAUGGUCCUUGAUGAUGCCGUAGUUUAUGUGGACGGGAAACAGGGGAGUCACCCAAUUGAAUUGAAAAAGCCUGGGUUAGGAAACACAUUCCUUUCCUAUCCCUCUCUCUCUCUCCCACACCCCCCAACCCACUUAAUCUCUCUCUCUCUCUCUCUCUCUCUCUCUCUCUCUCUCUCUCUCUCUCUCUCUCUCUCUUUCUCCCCUUAAUGAAUCAAAACCAUAGCAAACCUAGUGCUUUCCUCCAAUCUUGCGCUACAAAACACACUCCUUUCUAGUCUCUCUCUCUCUCUCUCUUCUUUAAUGAAUCAAAACCAAAGCAAAAAUUUGAUUUCCUCCAAUCUAUGCCUAAGAGGCAACGUAAACAGCCACUUCUUUACACUCUUUUCUUCUCAUUUCUGCAUUUUCUUUCAAUUUUAUUCUUCAAAAUAUUAAUUUAGAUUGAAUUGAACUUUCGAAAUAUAUUUGCAAACAGAGAAACUAAGGCCCGGAAAAAGCUACAUAUUGCUCCAUCAAGUUAAACUGAACGGAGCAAGAAUUAUUAAUCUCAAUGAAACCCUUUGAAAUUCACAACACAACAGGAGCAGGCAGUGAUAGGCGCGCAGCACAUUAUCAGAAUAUGCCAAUAAUUAAGAAUCUCAUGGAAAAUACCAAAAUGAUAGUGACGGACUAUAUAACAUCAAGAAUUCAUGCGAUUACAAGGAAAGAAACGCGAAAUUAUCGGAAAUGUGGAAAUGAAAUUUGAACUAAAGACACGAAAUUUGAAACUAGGGUUUGAUAAAAAUUCAAAAAGUAAAGAAGAAUGAUGAAUGGAAGAAGGGGUUCUGAAUACCUAAAUCGCAGUCUGCGGGAUUGAGCACCACGCGUUGCUUGGUCUUGUGUUCGGGAGAAUCCGAUAAGACUGCCUUCGGCUUCUUCGACUCGGGUUCUUCUGGUUCUGAAAGCUGGCGUUUGAUCGACGCCAUUGAAAAAUAACUGAAGCGAAAGAGGCAGGAUAGCUGAAACGUUUGUGCUGGUGUUGGGGUUUAUACAGGGAACUGUUAUGAUCGCAGAAAUUUGGAAAGGAAGGACGACAAGCACAAAUUUAAGGUAGAGAUCCGACCCGAAUCGACCCCCAUCAAAGAUUCAACUCGAGCAUAGCCCAAAUUCACCAGAGUUUAAUGACUUGGGCUGCGGUUGGCCCUCAACCCAAAAUUGACUAUCCAGAAUUGUGAUUAAUCAAAUGUAGUAAAGUAGACCCGGGCCAACCCACCGAGUUGCAACCCUACUCAAUCAAUACACAAAUUCAAAAUUCAAAAUGAAAUAAAUGAGGGUGAAAAUAAAGAUAAAUAUAAAAUAUAAAAUAAUAAAAAAGAGUAAAACAAGAUGAAAUAGAAUAAAAUAAAAUGAAUAAAAAUAAAAAUAAAAAUGGAAAUGUAUGGGCUAAGAGUAACACGGACUAAAUUGUAUUGGGCCUAGAGUGUAUGGGUCUAAAUUGGGCCAAGAUGGAAUAUGAACAUGGCCAAGGUGACUGUCAUGUGAGGGGUAAACCUACAUGAUAACGGGUAAGAAAAAUUUGGGGUCUAUAAGUUCCAAAUUUGGGCCGGCCCAGGAUCGGUCCAUUAUCACCUGACCGUUGCUAAAACCCUGCAUUCAGGGGUUUGCCUUGUAGCGCAGGAAGCCACGAUCUCUGUCUACACAAGCCUUCAAUCGUUCCGUCUGCGCUACGAUCGAUCUCCGAGUUCAAGGUACUGCUGCAAUAUCCUAUCCCAAUUCAAUCAAUCGACAUAUCUGUAAGAUGCAAUCUUUUGAAUGAUGAGAAAAACAUAUAUGGAAGAUACAAUCGUUUGAAUGAUGAGAAAAUAAUGAGGGAAAUGAAAAGAGAAUUUGAAUUGUGAAAUUUCACCAUCUAGAUAUCCACCGCUGGUGUAUACAGAAUACCCAUGUGACUCUUUGGCUUAGUUGACUUGAGUUUUAGAUUUUAUUUUUUAAUUUUUAUGUUUCGUUUGUUUUGGAUUUUUUGUAAAAGAAAGUGACAGCGAUAUAACUUAGGAAUCAAAAUGUGGUUUUCUUUUGUUUUUCUUCAUUUUCUUGGUAACCAAAUAGAGGGUUGGAUCCUGCUCUGAGUGCUUUAUAGCUUGGGAAUGCUACUGCUGGAAAUUUUGAGUUCUAUGGCUUCUCUUUGAACAGCCGUGGAACUGUUGCAAUUUUGGAUUACAGCUGCAACUGAAAUAUUUGUUAGAUUAUCGGUCUUUUCUGUUUGGGAAUGUUUUCUUGUACAAAAAUCAUUUUAGUUUAGAUGCAGGGAAAAUAUGAGAAGAGUAAGUAAAUUUUUGAAUUGUAAAAUUUUCACCAGAAAUGAUUCGGGUGUUUGGAUUGGUUGAUCUGUGUGUGUGUUUUGUGGGAAACCAAAGAUGAGGCAUAGAAAUGAGAGUGUUGUUUUCUUUUAUUGCUCUGUUUUCUUGAAAACCAAACAGAGAGCAAGGAUUUCUCUUUUAAUGCUUGGGACUUGUCUUUCCCAAACAUUCAGUUAUUUGGAUUUCCAGAGGGAUAAUGGGGAUCGCCCCAUCUCAUACUUCAUACUUCCCCUGUUAAAAUGCCAUGAAAGACUUAACAGACUCACCAAUUUUCAUUACAAUAAAUAAUUCUUCUUCUACAAAAUUACCACACCUUGCUUACAUUCAUAUUUGGGGCAUGAUUCAGCCACUGCAGGUGGGUUAGCAGAGAAUAACAAACAAAAAUAGUUACAAAUAAAACUCAAAUCCAAAUCAAUGCUUAAACGCUAUAAAUUGGCAUUUCACACCUAAAUAUGUUUAAAUCUUGUAAAAAUCUUGAUGAAUGAAAGCUGGUCAACUCUGACUGACAAACAACUUAACAGCAUGUGCAACGAAGCAGGCCUCUGGGCAUCUGCUCAUACCUGAGCCAGUGAUCACUGGUACAAAAUAAAAGAGAGAGAGAGGUGAUGAGUGCAAGCAUGAAGUUUAUUGCUACUUUAGUUAGUAAUCCACAAAACAUGUAUUUGAUUGAGAUUAGGGCCAGAGGAAACCAAAUUCAGUAAUGCAUAGAGGUCAUGCACACUAACAGGGUGCACCUACUAGAAAAAUAGUGAACGGACACUUGUCUGAGGAAAACAUUCUGAACCUAAUGUAUUAAGCUCAACUCAUUGGCUAUGUGCAUAGAAUUCCCCAAAUAUCAAUUAUGGAUGAAUAAUUUUUCUGAUCUUUGAUUUUUAAUCUCACAACGAUCCAACUGUUUCCAAAUUAGCAUAUAAAUCUUGCAUGUAUAAGGGCUUAUGUUGGGGGUUGGCAACAAAGCAAACAAUCACACAAGAAGGAUUAUGUGGUUAGACAGUAUUCUUAUAUCCAAGUAGAAAAAUGAUAAGGGUUUCAAUCAUACUCUUGCCUAAGCUCUGAGCUCAAAGCCAUUAUUCCAAUUACAUACCUGUUAUUGCUUUCUGUUAAAUACUUUUAACAUAAAUGCAAAAACAGCCUCAAAUACCAAAAUGUCCCUUGCCACCAUAGUGACUCUCUCCGGUACAGGGGUGGAUAGGUCACAGAGCUGGGUACAGGCACAAACUAAAUUCCUGUGUAUAGUAGUGAUAGACCAAGUAAAAGGGAUAUCAAGAAGGUCUAGAAUGGCCAGACCACCUUGAAUACAAAUGCUCAGCCCCUGUAAGUUACUUCCAUAGCUCUCCAUUCCUCCACCAAUCAAAGCAAGAAUCUCUUCAUUUUAAAAGAACUUUCCUUUAAGAAUGUUACUUCAUGGCUGCCACCACUGUAUUUUAUUUUGUGAAGCAUGGCUGGUCUUGCAAUUCUUUCUUAUGACCUUCCAGUUGUCUAAGAGGCUCUACUUACAAAUAGAUCCUCCCUUACCAACCUUCAUGACCUUCUCUGCCCUUGAAAGGGUUUUAAUAUCAACUUGUAGAAGAUAAUAACUCCCUGACCUGACACCCAUUUCUUUCCCUUUUAGAGUUAUUUUUUAUUAUAGUUAAACAGCAUUCUCAGCAACGCUUUCAUGAAAUACUUAUGAAUCAAAGCUCAAAGAAGACUCUCAUUUAUCACAUCUGUAGACACGUUAAUGAAGCCCGCACCAUCUGAAACUAAAACAAAAUUUGGAAUAUGACCUAGUUCAUCUAAAAUUAAUGUAGUUCAGAGAAAUAGGGCCUCUAUUGCCUCUUUGAUGUAAGACUACAGAGUGGAAACUCAUUAGAAGCACCAUCACUCCUCAAAUUAAACAUUAUGUUCCCCUAAUAAAAUAGCCAUAGAUUAGCUAAAACAAUAAUAAGAAGAAAAGCAUUGAUCUUCUUUCAGAACUAUUUCAAAACAAAACAUCCACUGCUCAAAGGUGAAAACUGUGAUUAACAGAAUGACAAGAAAUCUAAUGAAAAAAUAAACAGUCAUAACUAUUGUGUUGAAUUUUGCUUCCUAGACUACCAUUUCCUUCCCCUUCCAACAUAAUAAAUGCCUAAGAGGAUUUAGAUCCAUCAUGAAUAUCUUUCUUGGCGUCUGAACAAAGGCACUUCUUGUCAGAUGAGGCUAUAAGCAUAGAAUAAACCACUGAUUUCGAUUAGAAUUUUAAUUAGCAAGUUAACUUGGAGGUGUUUAUCAUAUCACAAAUUAAAUAUGGGCAUUAGGGCUAGGUUCUGUAAGAUACAGAGUUGUCAUGAUCUGAGCAUCCUUCAGCUAAUAACAAGUUUCCAUCUGAUGUAGCGUAUCGGUAUCUCUGAAGCAGUAGGUGAAUUCUAAAGCUAGAAAUUAACCUUGUAAGUAAGAAUCCCAUCUGCUAAAGUAAAAUGUAUUUUUCAUCAAGAAAGGUAAUGUAAUACUGUUGCAAACAAGCAGAUAUUUCAAUUUUUUUGAUAGGCACAUUAGACAAGCAGAUAAGCGACUCUCUAACCAACACAGCAAAGAGGAGUGAUAUGCCAAUUAUUCAUGGUCACAGACAAAUUCUAAACAAAUGAUGCAAAAUGGUUAUUUGUGACCUUGUAAAGCCAGCAGAAAGAAAGUAUUUCUGACCUUUCAAAGCCAGAGUGUUGGAUGAUAGAACAAAUACAUCAAUGAUGAAAAUCACAGAGGAUGGCAAUUUCCAAACCUGCACAAUACAUAUACAAAGUUAGAGGGAACUCUCAAAUAUGCUUCCACUAUUAAACUAUUACCGUUAACCAAGGGACAUUAAGAAACCAUACCAUCAUGGCCAUAAGAAAAAUCUUGAAGUAACUAGAAAUGAGGAUUGCUAGCAAAAGGUUUUUGUACCUGUACAGUUUUGAGAAGAAUGAGACAAAUCAGCAAUGCCCCUUUUUUUAAUUCACUUUGAAUAAGAGAACGACAAAUGGAUAGCUUUACAAAUGGAUAACUUUACAAAGAGAAGCCAAUGUCAAUCAACUCAAGCUCAAUAUAAAGGUUUAUUAACUUCCUAUGGGCAGCACAGAUAUACUACUGUACCAUUCUGUUCUAAACCCUUGUUAAAUACACUUGAAUGUGCUUUUUCACAAUUCAUGUUCUUUUAGGCCUUACUUGUCCUUCAUCACCUUCAACUUGGACCAAGCCACCAUCUUUGCUGUUGUGAUGAAUGGUCUGCAUAUGAAAAGACCAUCACAGGCUCACAGCUUACCUUUCUUGAACUUGUUCUCAUUUCAAUUACACUCAUUUCACAGAGCGCUCAACAUUCUGUGCCAUCAAGCACAGAUGGCCUCACUUGGGUUAUAGAAUUUUUCCUUUAAUUUGACAUCAAAGUAAUCAUCAAUCAUGAAGCAGUCCAGUAGCACUUACCCGCUUCAUCCAUCACACCUCGCCAAGUGCACAACUUGAACCAAAGUGCUCCUCACCAGUAUAAUCAUUGAGCUGCUAUGCAUAUGAUCAGACUAUCAUAGCUAAACUUUUCUCAUCUUGUCUGCAUUUCAUUACACUCAUUUUUAUGUACGGCCCAAAUGCCUGGAUAGCUUAAUGGGCUCAUUCUUAUGAAGUUUCUUUAAAUUUGAUUUAAUUGGACUUCAUUGACUUACAAAAAAUGAAAUUUUUUUAACCAUCAGUGUUUGGUAUUUGUUUCUUUGAUCAGAAUCCUUCCCCCAGGCACAAACGACUGCAUAGUUGUGGUGAAAAAUGGGAAAGAAAUAUUUACUCUAGAUAUUGUUAGAGGUGUACAUCUAAAAAUGGUACUGUUGAGCACUAAGACAACUCCGUUCUAGUGAUAGGACCCACUACCGGCAAUACAUGGUCUCACACAAAGGAAAAAUCAUCAAAAACAUUCUUCUUUUGUUCACGGCAUCAGUAAAUUCAAUACCAGCUGAAAUGGAAGGCAUAUAGAACAUUUAAAAUUACCAAACAAAGAAAUAACAAGUAUCUUCAUGAAAAGAAUCAACUUAAGCUUUUACUUGGAGGCUCCACCAACUGUGUUGAGCAAAUUCCUUGUUGCAAGAAGGAAAAUACAAAGAAAAGCCAAGUUCCCAAACAAGACAUCCAUCAGUAUCUACAAUUGGAGUGGACCUAUCUCAUCAGAGACGUAGCAUAAAAUCCAGGGUAAUCAUCAUUUAUUCACACCCAACACAGACAUACGAACGUUUGCAAAUCUCCAAAAUAAAGAAGAAAAGCUCAUGGAUAAACCCCAUUCGUCUUCACUCCUUGUUAAAACCAGUAUCCUGUCUUAGAUGAUAAGGCUCUGUCUGUAUAUAUUUUGCAAUGAAUUUAAAGAACUGCAGAAUGGUUCUAAAGACAAAAUAAAAUGGCAGAUUGAUGAAAUGGAUACAUGCAUUCAAAAGAACUUGGUUUUAUUUUUUUAUUUUUUUUUAUCAUUUUUCAAAAUACUUGCUUAAUAAAGAUCAAGAUAUUAAAAAUGCUUAGGGGUUAAGGUAUAUGGUUGAGGGUGUAGGUGAAUAUGAAUCAAUCAAGUUUUUAAAUUGCUAUUUUUUUCUUAAACUAUCUUUUAAGAGUUAAGGAGGCCAAGAUAACAAUUUUUUUUACCAAGUGUUUUUGUGCCUUGUUCUAUGAUCAAUUCAAUUAGGUAAAAUCAAUCCAUCUUUUGUUGAAUUUUGCUUUAACUAUUGAAUCAAAGAUUCCGUUUUAUAUUUAACUUAAAUGGUUUCGUAAGGAAUAACAAUAUUCAAUUUUCACUCCCUUUGAGCUCUCUUCUCAAUUCAAAUUAAGAGAGUGUUUUGAGAAAAUUCUUUUCUAUCUUGAUUUUCAAAUCAUUUUUCAAUUGGAUUUUCUAAAAUAAAAAAUAAAAAAUGCAAAACAAUGGGUUGAUUCAUUUAUUCCAUUCAUCUAUUGUGUUCUUCUUGAUUUAGGUUUGAGAGAAAACUCAUUUUUUUCUUGUACAAAUUCAAGAAGAGAUAGAGAUUAAGUUUGGAGUGGACUCCAAUUAAUGCGCUCCAAAAAAGAAGGUAUGAUGCCGAAGUUGGAAAAUGCUAGUCAAGUAGUUUGGAAGGAUAGAUAAAUUUAAGAUAAGGUAAAACUUUGUACUUGGUUAUUUAAUAGAAGUUUUUUUUAUUGUUAAUGAGUUCAAUAUUUUUCAUCUUUUAGAAGAUUUUCCACAUUAAAAUUUGAUAUUAUUAUCUUUCUUAUUCUUUUCUUUUGUUCGUUUUCAUUUAUAGAUCUCAAUUUCAUGCUUGGGCAUAUAUGUUGGAUAAGUGAAAAAUGAGUUGAAAUGAAUUUGAUUAUCCUUUGAAAAUUUUGAAUAAUAAGCAAUUUGAUUAUGAUAUCAAGUAGUAAUUAGAAAUGUGUUAAAAAGUUUAUUGUUCUUAUGAAUAUAGGUUGGGGAAUGAUGAUAUACUUGCAUGCCAAUUACAUUUAUAAAUUAUUGAGAAAGUGGUGUUAUAUUUACACUUACAUGUAACUUUUAUUUUUUUUGUUAAAAAAUUGUUAAAAGAAAAGAAUAUAGCUAUGAAAAAUCUUAAUGCCAGAUAAUAUGCACAGGAAGAUCUCUUGAAUUUGUUUAAAAACACCUACUUCAGCUUUGGUGUAGUCUAUAAUUGAGAUUGACCUUUAUUGUAAAUUACAACCAAUUAACUCCUCUUUGAAGGGUCUUUCAACCUUUGAACACUUGUAUUAAUUUAUUUUAAAUCUUUUCCCAUUUAAGUGUGGAAUGUUAAUUUUUUUCUUCUGUUUUAUCCUAUUAUCAGAUUUGAUUUUUAAGCCAAACAUUCAAUUUGGAAAUGAUACAAUUUCCUCUACUUUUUUUUCUUUUUUUUGGAAAAUUAUCUCUCUAAAAACGUAAAUCUAUUUACUUCAAAUGUCUUUCCAUGUAGGUGUGAAAUGUCAACUUUUUCUUCUAUUUCACCUUCAAAUAUAUUCAAACUCCAUUAUUAUAUUGAUUUUUUUAGCUUAAGUAAUAAAUUUGGGAAUAAUACAACUUCUACAAAUUUGAGUUUCUAUUUUCUUACCAUCUAAACAAAAUGCACAAGUCUACAAAAAUUUCCCUCCUAGUAUGACAAAAUCUCCUUUUUAUUAACCACUCAAUCUUUCAUUCAUGUAUUGAUAAAACUUUCAAAUAAUCUAUACUCAUUACAAAUUUUCCAUACCCAUUCAUUGCCCAUACAACUCAAAACAAAUUCAAUCAAGCUCUCCCCCAAAUUUCCCUCCUAGUAUAACAAAAUCUCCUUUUUUUUAACCACUCAAUCUUUCAUUCAUAUAUAGAUAAACUUUCAAAUAAUCUAUACUCAUUACAAAUUUUCCAUACCCAUUCAUUGCCCAUACAACUCAAAACAAAUUCAUUCAAGCUCUCCCCCAAAUGGUUUUACUCUUAUGGAUUUGUUGUGAGCAUGGUUGAAAUGACUUCUUCAACACUCUCUCCACUAUCUUUAUUAAGUGUUCUUUCAAUGGUCUUUUAUAUAAAUAAGAUAGCAAAAUACUAAGAUGUUUUUAUAAAAAUGGCAUAUUGCUCAUUGGGGUCAAUAAGUUAGACCAAUCUCCUUUUGAGAUUAAGUUUACGGGGGUCUUAUUAUGCAAAGUUUUCCUUUUUUUGAAGUCUCUUUUUGGGAUCUAAGUCUUGUGCAGUCUCUUUAACAAAACUUUUCCAUAAUUUUUUUUACUUUUAAAAUAUACCUUUUAUUUGUAAUGGGCCAUUGGAGAAGCUAUGAGAUUGUGAUUUAGAGCUUAAACAGAAGGCAAGAGAGGAAGAAAAGACCACAAAACAGGUGUGAGUGAACAUACAAUUAUGCCCAAGAAAGUAAAACAUGGUUUAAGUAGUUUUGAAAAUAUUUACUUCACUAGCAUAUUUCUAUCAUGCAAUUAUCAAAAACCGUAUACAAAAGAGUUUUCGCUUUGGUUGAGAAAAGAGAAUUCCAUGUGGCAUCGCAGUAGACAUAUAUAUUAUACAAUAAUCAAUUCCUUUGUGCAUCUCUUACUUCAUGUUGAUCAUCUAAGGAUUCAGUCUGAUGAUGGCUUUUCAUAUUCUACACAGAAUGGAACCACAGCGCCAAUAAAGAAAAUACAAAAUGAUUGGAAGGUUCAUUUUUAUAUACAAAAAUGGUAUGCAAUAAUGGAUUGCACACGAACUUUAUCAAAAGAGAAGAGCCAGAGAAGUUGCUCUUCAACAGAAUAUCUCUGGAAUACAUUUACUUACAGAUGAAAACAAGGCAACCCAACUUCAAUGCAAUGGUUGAAGACGGGAUGAGUAGUAAAGAUUUGUUGACAUGUACAAGCAAAAUGAAGACGUGAUACCCACAUCACAUCCUAUCAUACAACAAUUCAUUUACACAGCCCUCGUGUCUCUGUUCAGCACUCACUCUUCAUCUGAUGAGAACAGCGCUAUCGCGAUGCCGGAUAACUUUCUUCCCCUCAGUCGAGACCUAAAAUGCCUCGACUGCUUAGGUGCAUCUGGGGUUUGAAGGUCAUCGAAACCACUGGAUUCUUCUGGAUCGAGGGGGCUUCGAAAAGUUUGUACCUUUGAAGGAGUACUAUAUGCGAAAUGCGACUUCUUUGCUAUCAAAGUCUGUUGAUUGCAAACAGAAAUUGGGUUCAAAUACGGAUCAAAACAAGAACAAAUCAAACCAAACGAAUUUUUCAAAAUAUGGGGAACUUACUGCG